GACCGGAUAGCUCAGUGGUUAGAGCAUCCACCCGGAGUUGGGAAGGUCCUUGGUUCAAAACCCAGGUCUGGUCA
rnacentral:tRNA from 1 species